rnacentral:rRNA from 1 species
UACGUAGGGUGCAAGCGUUGUCCGGAAUUAUUGGGCGUAAAGAGCUCGUAGGUGGUUUGUCGCGUUGUUCGUGAAAACUCACAGCUCAACUGUGGGCGUGCGGGCGAUACGGGCAGACUAGAGUACUGCAGGGGAGACUGGAAUUCCUGGUGUAGCGGUGGAAUGCGCAGAUAUCAGGAGGAACACCGGUGGCGAAGGCGGGUCUCUGGGCCGAUACUGACGCUGAGGAGCGAAAGCGUGGGGAGCGAACAGG